rnacentral:lncRNA from 1 species
CCUCGAGGCACUGUGUCCAACAGGCUCCUCUCUGUCCUUCCAGCACUGUGGAGACGGCACUGGAAGGCAAAACGGAGAGCAUCCUGAAUUCCUGCUUCAACAGUGUCUUCUUUUUGCCUCCGGAACUGGACAUACCAGAAGAGGAGCAAACGCUCUACACUGAGGUGUGUGCUGGGUGAGCCACCGGAGCCCCAGGUCCCUUUGGGCAGCUCCCUGGCUCCUUGUGCUGAGACCAUAGGAGACCGAGGCAGGGCAGGGAUCCAGCAUUGCUUUUCCACCCUCAUCUCUUCUCUGGGGAUAGGGUUAGCAUGAGGUGCCCCGUGAGGUGCCGCAGGUGCUCUUCUACGACUCUCUGUCCUCUUGCAGACCAUGAUUGCCAUGGAAGUGAUGCUACAAGCCUUGGUGCAGAACUGCCCCGACUCCAGAAUGAGGGAGGAGCUGCGCAGUAUCUUUCAGGCUCUGCUCCACUUCUUCAACUCCCAGCACCUUCAUGUUCGUACGAGAGCCCUGUACGGGGUUCUACGGAUGAUCAGGCAUUUUAUGGAAAAAGUAAGGAGCCAGGCACCCUCCAGCCAGGCCGUCUCCCGUUCUCCACAUCCCAGCGCAGCUCAGGGGUGCCUGCAGCCGGGGCACA